ensembl:lncRNA
CCCCAGUAACAAUCUUAUGUGUUUCUUUUCCCCAGGAUUUCUGUGUUCCAGCCAGCAAAUCUGAAUCCAAAGCAAAGAAUUUCUAGGUCAGAGCUUUCAGGCUAUGUGAUCAUAUUGGCAGAGGUCUAGGAAAGAGAUGCUGGCUUGACCUUGGCUGAUGGAAGUGAAGACGGAGAGGAGAGGAUUUGAAUCUGUUUCAGAGGUACAGCUGAGGAUGACUGAGGAAAAUUAGGGACGUGUUUCAGUAUGGUGGAUCAAUGAACAUAUUACAUCAUGGACUUCACAAUGCACCACCCUAUUACACAUGACAACUUACAGAAGAAGGUGUAGGAGGUCACAUCCAAGUCCCAAAAUGAAAAGCACACUGCCAUCUCCUGGAUCAAAUCUAAUAAGGCAGCCCUUGAAAAACCGAAUACAGCUCGGAGUAUAAACCAGAUCUACAGGAAGUAACUACACAUGAAAAUGAGACUCUUUGCUUUCCUUGUAACAAAUGUUAAGGAUAAUUAAAAU